AGCGAACGCUGGCGGCAGGCUUAACACAUGCAAGUCGAGCGGGCACUUCGGUGUCAGCGGCAGACGGGUGUGUAACACGUGGGAACGUACCCUUUUGUUCGGAAUAACGCUGGGAAACUAGCGCUAAUACCGGAUACGCCCUUUUGGGGAAGGGCUUUCUGCCGCAGGAUCGGCCCGCGUCUGAUUAGCUCGUUGGUAGGGUAAUGGCUUACCAAGGCGACGAUCAGUAGCUGGUCUGAGAGGAUGAUCAGCCACACUGGGACUGAGACACGGCCCAGACUCCUACGGGAGGCAGGAGUGGGGAAUAUUGGAAAAUGGGCGCAAGCCUGAUGCAGCCAUGCCGCGUGAGUGAUGAAGGCCUUAGGGUUGUAAAGCGCUUUUGUCCGGGACGAUAAUGACGGUACCGGAAGAAUAAGCCCCGGCUAACUUCGUG
rnacentral:rRNA from 1 species